AGGAGGUAUCUGUUCUAAAAAUACUUAUCAUAAUGUUCGCAGCAAUUAACCUCGGAAUAAUUGCAGUAGGAGGAGUAGGAUUUACUCUGGGUUUAGUUGAUUUCUGGGAGAAUUCAGACCUUUUCACAUACAUUAUGGUUGGAAGCAGUUGUUUAGUUUGCUGGGGAACCCUGGCCACCACGAUGGAUAUGUUAGCACUCCUUGGGAUCUUUAAGGAAAUUUUUUACAGAUUUUUCCAAACCAAAAAACUUCUUAUUAUCUUUUUCUUGCAGAAAAAAACCAGAUAUGGAACUAAUUUUUUAAAUUAAUAACUUUUUAUUCCAGGGGAAAAGAGACCUCUUGACACCUUGGCUCGUUUGGUAUAUUCUUGAAGUUGUCUGUUUUGUAUGUGUGCUUGGCGUGAGUAUAAUAUAUACAGAACAGUUCUAUGUUCUACCAGUUCUAGUCAAAACACUUCUAACUAUUGCAGUCUGGGUCAGAGUGAAGCGCGUGUACAGUUCAAACCAGUCUUCCUUUCCUUCAAAAACAAUAGAAAAUGACAUGUUUUACUGAAUUUACCAAUUUAU